rnacentral:rRNA from 1 species
UACGUAGGGUGCGAGCGUUAAUCGGAAUUACUGGGCGUAAAGUGUGCGCAGGCGGCCGAGCAAGUCGAGUGUGAAAGCCCCGAGCUUAACUUGGGAACUGCGCUCGAAACUACUUGGCUAGAGUGUGGCAGAGGGAGGUGGAAUUCCACGUGUAGCGGUGAAAUGCGUAGAGAUGUGGAGGAACACCGAUGGCGAAGGCAGCCUCCUGGGCCAACACUGACGCUCAUGCACGAAAGCGUGGGGAGCAACAGG